rnacentral:rRNA from 5 species
ACGAACGCUGGCGGCGUGCUUAACACAUGCAAGUCGAACGGUGAAGCCCUUCGGGGUGGAUCAGUGGCGAACGGGUGAGUAACACGUGGGCAACCUGCCCCAGAUUCUGGGACAACACCGGGAAACCGGUGCUAAUACCGGAUACGACGCAUCUCCGCAUGGGGUGUGCGUGGAAAGCUCCGGCGAUCUGGGAUGGGCCCGCGGCCUAUCAGCUUGUUGGUGGGGUGAUGGCCUACCAAGGCGACGACGGGUAGCCG